rnacentral:rRNA from 1 species
AGCGGAAUCUAGCACAAUGGGGGCAACCAUGAUCCACCCAUGGUGCUAAAGUGCUUUAGGCCCGAGGGAAAUAAAGAUCUUUAAUAGGGGAGGAUUAUGACGGUACCCGUAGAAGAAGCCCCGGCUAAAUUCGUGCCAGCAGCCGCGGUAAUAUGUAGGGGGCGAGCGUUAUUCUGAAUUACUGGGCGUAAAGCGCGCGCAGGCGGUUUUGUAAGUCAGAGGUGAAAGCCCCGGGCUCAACCCGGGAAUUGCGUUUGAUACUGCAAGGCUAGAAUCAGGGAGAGGGGGGUGGAAUUCCGAGUGUAGCAGUGAAAUUCGUAGAUAUUUGGAGGAACACCA